rnacentral:rRNA from 1 species
GUGCCAGCAGCCGCGGUAAUACCGGCAGCUCGAGUGAUGGCCAAUCUUAUUGGGCCUAAAGCGUCCGUAGCUGGCCGCGCAAGUCCGUCGGGAAAUCCAUCAGCCCAACUGAUGGGCGUCCGGCGGAAACUGCACGGCUUGGGACCGGAAGGCUCGAGAGGUACGUUCGGGGUAGGAGUGAAAUCCCAGAAUCCCGCACGGACCACCGAUGGCGAAAGCACUUCGAGAAAACGGAUCCGACAGUGAGGGACGAAAGCCAGGGUCUCCAACCGGAUUAGAUACCCCGGUAGUCC